AAGGUACUCAAUGAUACUUUCCGUGUCCUCGAAGGGAGUUAGUCCCGUAGACGGCAUGGGGAG
rnacentral:ncRNA from 1 species